rnacentral:rRNA from 1 species
ACGGAGGAUCCAAGCGUUAUCCGGAUUUAUUGGGUUUAAAGGGUGCGUAGGCGGCUUAUUAAGUCAGGGGUGAAAGACGGUGGCUCAACCAUCGCAGUGCCCUUGAUACUGAUGAGCUUGAAUACACUAGAGGUAGGCGGAAUGUGACAAGUAGCGGUGAAAUGCAUAGAUAUGUCACAGAACACCGAUUGCGAAGGCAGCUUACUAUGGUGUCAUUGACGCUGAGGCACGAAAGCGUGGGGAUCGAACAGGA